rnacentral:tRNA from 1 species
GCCCAAGUGGCGGAAUUGGUAGACGCGCACGUUUCAGGUGCGUGUGUCGCAAGACGUGCAGGUUCGAGUCCUGUUUUGGGCA